rnacentral:rRNA from 1 species
GAUGAACGCUGGCGGCGUGCCUAAUACAUGCAAGUCGAGCGAACGGACGAGAAGCUUGCUUUUCUGAUGUUAGCGGCGGACGGGUGAGUAACACGUGGAUAACCUACCUAUAAGACUGGGAUAACUUCGGGAAACCGGAGCUAAUACCGGAUAAUAUUUUGAACCGCAUGGUUCAAAAGUGAAAGACGGUCUUGCUGUCACUUAUAGAUGGAUCCGCGCUGCAUUAGCUAGUUGGUAAGGUAACGGCUUACCAAGGCAACGAUGCAUAGCCGACCUGAGAGGGUGAUCGGCCACACUGGAACUGAGACACGGUCCAGACUCCUACGGGAGGCAGCAGUAGGGAAUCUUCCGCAAUGGGCGAAAGCCUGACGGAGCAACGCCGCGUGAGUGAUGAGGUCUUCGGAUCGUAAAACUCUGUUAUUAGGGAAGAACAUAUGUGUAAGUAACUGUGCACAUCUUGACGGUACCUAAUCAGAAAGCCACGGCUAACUACGUG